rnacentral:lncRNA from 1 species
UCUGGUUGUUUUGCAGGUGAGGGUUUGGGUGCAUCGCAUUCUCCCUUCACACACACACAUAUUAUGCAUUUAUUGAGUGGGGCCCUAUACCCGGGUCUGAGCGUAACUUAGAAUUAGAGGAGUUGUGUAGCGGUGUCACUCUGGGAUGUACUUCCUGUUUAGCUAUCGUGAGAACUCUAGCUAGAGUCUGUUCUCUUCAUUUGUGUCUCCACACCUAGUUGAUUACUUGACUGUUGUGGAGAUGCUAUGAAGGGGGCCAUAGCUCUAGUGACCAUUGAUCCCUAGGUUCAGGGAGUCAUCCUUGUAAGAUUGCAUAUACUGGACCCCAAUCUGAAAUGUUGAACCUUCACUAGGGCACAAAGGGAGAUGUGUGUAUCCUUAUAACCCUCACUUUUGCAUAAUAAAGUCAAGCACCUUGUACAUAUCACUGCAUUCUUUCUUUGUUGCUCAUGUUUUUAUGGC